CCCGGCGGACCAUCUUGACCUGCCGCAGACCGCGCAACCGCUGAGGGUGCACCACGGCCACAUAGCGAUCCAGACUGAUGCAGAUCACCGCCAGGACCAAAGCGUUGCCGCACACGCUGAAGAUGAAGACCAGAGAGUAGAAGAUGGGGAAGAGGACCACAGCGGAUUGCUGAUCAACUAGCACGUCGCAACUGCUCCGAACUUUCAUCUACAGCCGCCACCCUGUGGCGUACCAUGAUUUUCUAGCGACACGUAUACAUAGAACUCAGCGUUAGACUUCGGAGAAAGAUUCAAAAGAUACAGAUGCACGUUGAGAUCACUCUGUGGUAGUCUGGUACAGCUGAACCCAGCUGCAUUUCAGCAAAAUUUAGCGAUGCUUGGAAAGGAACCAGUUCACUGCCCCUGAAUGCUGUUUGAGGUGCCUUUGAGCAAAGAAUUGAACAUCCUCAGUUCAGUGCACUCUUUUGUUUCCAUUAGGUCCUUUUUUGUGGCACAAUGAAGAAAAGAAUUGCUUGAUUGUCUGAUGUUCCUUUGUCUCUAAAAAGGAGUCUGAAACCUACGGCUCUACACCGCAUGUGGCUCUUUCGUCCGUCUGAUGUGGCCCUCUAUAACUUGGGAAAAAUAAAUGAAUAAAAUAAA